UGUGCGCGCCGCUCGGGCCGCUCCCGCUGUGCGCGACGGGCGCGCCGGCGCUGCCCCACGGGCGAGACGUGGCUGCUGGGGAAUGUCGCUGCCUGCUGGGUUCCGCCGCUUCCGACUCCUACCCGAGGGUUUGCAAGUUCUGUUUGUUAAGAAUAUUCCUGUAAUUAUUAUGAUGAAAAUGUACUAGUGUUUAUCAUACUGACUUAAAAUUGCGUACGGUGUUGGUGGAACCAUGCACAAAUAUAACUGAAAACUGCAUCCCCCUUACUUGAUUAAUUUGGACAUAAUUUACUUUUUCUAAUUGCAGGUUUUGCCUUUGCCUGGGUCCAGCUCCAUGGUUGCCGAUAUCUGAAAUCCUCCUAAUUAAAGCGAAAGGCAUAUCAAGUGCUGCUGGUGUGUUAAGGAACUGGGUUAUGGCAUUCUUAGGAACACAAAGAAUUUCGGCGUUUUAUACAUAAGGAACUUGAUUCCAGCUGAAGUGGAAGUCAUAAGCGGAUGGCUGGACCAGUGAGGAACCUCCAUUGAAAGGGUAUACCUUUCUGUAUUGACAAACAUCUGCAGCAAAACAGAAAAAAGAAGCACUUUACACUAUACAGACCUAGACUCCAAUGAAAGAAGAUCUACAUAUGCAGAUUGAGCUAUUACCAUUAUUUUCAGAUACAGACCUAGACUCCAAUGAAAGAAGAUCUACAUAUGCAGAUUGAGCUAUUACCAUUAUUUUCAGAUACAGACCUAGACUCCAAUGAAAGAAGAUCUACAUAUGCAGAUUGAGCUAUUACCAUUUCUGGCCUUCCGAAAACACUUACAGUUAUAACACAACAGUAGACCAGCUUCACCGUCUUCAUAUACAUCAAUAGCUGCAACAAAAUUAACCUGCAAUGAUAAUGGAAAAGAUUAACAAACAGGCAGAUGAUACUGUGGUUAUUACAACUGGGUUGUGACAAACAAGCAAUACAAUCAGUUGGGAACGUGCACAACCACAGGUAAAAGGGAAAAAAAAAAGGG